GGAGGGUGCAAGCGUUGUUCGGAAUUACUGGGCGUAAAGCGCGUGUAGGUGGCCUUUUAUGUCAGGUGUGAAAGCCUCCCGCCCAACGGGAGAAGUGCGCCUGAAACUGAAAGGCUUGAGUACGAGAGGGGGAGACGGAAUUCCUAGUGUAGAGGUGAAAUUCGUAGAUAUUAGGAAGAACACCGGUGGCGAAAGCGGUUUCCUGGCUCGUAACUGACACUAAGACGCGAAAGCGUGGGUAGCAAACAGGAUUAGAUACCCUGGUAGUCCACGCCGUAAACGAUGGAUACUAGUCGUUGGAAAUUUUUAAAAACUUUUACAGUGACGACGCUAACGCAUUAAGUAUCCCGCCUGGGGAGUACGGCCGCAAGGUU
rnacentral:rRNA from 1 species